CGUGCUUAACACAUGCAAGUCGAACGGUGAAGGAGGAGCUUGCUCUUCUGGAUCAGUGGCGAACGGGUGAGUAACACGUGAGUAACCUGCCCUUGACUCUGGGAUAAGCGUUGGAAACGACGUCUAAUACCGGAUACGAGCUUCAGCCGCAUGGCUAGGAGUUGGAAAGAAUUUUGGUCAAGGAUGGACUCGCGGCCUAUCAGGUUGUUGGUGAGGUAACGGCUCACCAAGCCUACGACGGGUAGCCGGCCUGAGAGGGUGACCGGCCACACUGGGACUGAGACACGGCCCAGACUCCUACGGGAGGCAGCAGUGGGGAAUAUUGCACAAUGGGCGAAAGCCUGAUGCAGCAACGCCGCGUGGGGGAUGACGGCCUUCGGGUUGUAAACCUCUUUCAGUAGGGAAGAAGCGAAAGUGACGGUACCUGCAGAAGAAGUACCGGCUAACUACGUGCCAGCAGCCGCGGUAAUACGUAGGGUACUAGCGUUGUCCGGAAUUAUUGGGCGUAAAGAGCUCGUAGAUGGUUUGUCGCGUCUGCUGUGGAAACGUGCCGCUUAACGGUGCGCGUGCAGUGGGUACGGGCGGACUAGAGUGCA
rnacentral:rRNA from 1 species